UCGACGCCGGACGGAAGUGCUGCCGGUCUUCCGUGCGUGUCCUAACUUCCUUCCCUGAUCCCGAGCGGUUUUUCCUUCUACUCCUCUGCCGCCGGUGACUAGGGCCACAGUCGACUCCCUGUUGCCCUGGCCGCGGAGAGAUCGAGCACAGGACUACGGCCGAUCAAGCCCCCAGCCCGAUUCUCUCCUCUUUGCUCCAAGCCGUGCCCUAGUUAGGGUACACAGCCGUCGGUGGCCACAGAUUUCACUUCCUCCCUUCUCUGUGUCGUGCCCUAGGUCAUAGCCAACAAGUGAGGUUGUGUGCUGUGAGGCUUGCUUGUUCUUGGUUCCGGCAGCCUUCUUUCCAACAGCUACUUGUUGGUUGCGGAUCUAGAGCAGUGUGUGAAUUGAGGAUCUUGACGCGAGACGAGUAUCUCGGAGUCGGAUUUGGACCACUUUAUUGGAGGCG